UGGUGGAGUGAUUUGUCUGGUUAAUUCCGUUAACAACGAGACCUUAACCUGCUAAAUAGUUACGCGAAUGGUUGCCCCUCGGGGCUCUCAUUCGUGGUUACACUUCUUAGAGGGACUAUUCGUGUCUAGCGAAUGGGAGUUUGAGGCAAUAACA
rnacentral:rRNA from 1 species